AUUGAACGCUGGCGGCAUGCCUUACACAUGCAAGUCGAACGGUAACAGGUCUUCGGAUGCUGACGAGUGGCGAACGGGUGAGUAAUACAUCGGAACGUGCCCGAUCGUGGGGGAUAACGGAGCGAAAGCUUUGCUAAUACCGCAUAAGAUCUACGGAUGAAAGCAGGGGACCGUAAGGCCUUGCGCGAACGGAGCGGCCGAUGGCAGAUGAGGUAGUUGGUGGGAUAAAAGCUUACCAAGCCGACGAUCUGUAGAUGGUCUGAGAGGACGACCAGCCACACUGGGACUGAGACACGGCCCAGACUCCUACGGGAGGCAGCAGUGGGGAAUUUUGGACAAUGGGCGCAAGCCUGAUCCAGCCAUGCCGCGUGCAGGAUGAAGGCCUUCGGGUUGUAAACUGCUUUUGUACGGAACGAAAAGACUCUUUCUAAUAAAGAGAGUCCAUGACGGUACCGUAAGAAUAAGCACCGGCUAACUACGUGCCAGCAGCCGCAGUAAUAC
rnacentral:rRNA from 1 species